rnacentral:rRNA from 1 species
UGCGUAGGCGGACUAAUAAGUCAGUGGUGAAAUCUCUCGGCUCAACCGGGAAAUUGCCAUUGAUACUGUUAGUCUUGAGUUCGGUUGAGGUAGGCGGAAUGUGUAAUGUAGCGGUGAAAUGCUUAGAUAUUACACAGAACACCAAUUGCGUAGGCAGCUUACUAGACCGACACUGACGCUGAGGCACGAAAGCGUGGGUAGCGAACAGGAUUAGAUACCCUGGUAGUCC